rnacentral:rRNA from 1 species
GACGAACGCUGGCGGCGUGCUUAACACAUGCAAGUCGAACGAAGAGCGAUGGAAGCUUGCUUCUAUCAAUCUUAGUGGCGAACGGGUGAGUAACGCGUAAUCAACCUGCCCUUCAGAGGGGGACAACAGUUGGAAACGACUGCUAAUACCGCAUACGAUCUGACCUCGGCAUCGAGGAUAGAUGAAAGGUGGCCUCUACAUGUAAGCUAUCACUGAAGGAGGGGAUUGCGUCUGAUUAGCUAGUUGGAGGGGUAACGGCCCACCAAGGCGAUGAUCAGUAGCCGGUCGGAGAGGAUGAACGGCCACAUUGGGACUGAGACACGGCCCAGACUCCUACGGGAGGCAGCAGUGGGGAAUCUUCCGCAAUGGACGAAAGUCUGACGGAGCAACGCCGCGUGAGUGAUGACGGCCUUCGGGUUGUAAAGCUCUGUUAAUCGGGACGAAAGGCCUUUUUGCGAAUAGUGAGAAGGAUUGACGGUACCGGAAUAGAAAGCCACGGCUAACUACGU